AUGCUAUCAAAGCUAUGUUGUAUGACAAGGGCUAAGCUGAGUAUGAAAUACACUAGUUCUACAGCAAGGAGGCAUAUUCCUUGACUUACUAACAAGUUGCAACCUGUUAGAGGACAACAAUUCUAGAAAAUUAUUGAAGCUCAAGCCAUGGAUCAACCUGACAUUGCCAAGACUAUGGGCAGGUCUAAAGUCAAAAGAGAUAGAGUAGCUAAAGAAGCAAGGAAAAGGAAGGGGGAGUGGAGUCUAUCAAGGAGAGGUAUUGUUAUGACAUGCAGCAAAUGUGGUGAUGAGAACCACAAUGCUAGAGGUUGUUGCAAGAAUGUUGGUAGAGAGGAUUCAAGUAAAGGAAAAGCAAAAGGAUGCCUCAAACAUUGCACCAUCCUCCACACAGCCACCAUAAGACUUUGAUGACUGGUUGGAAGAAUUCUUCAACCACGAUGCUGCAACUGAACCAAUGACACAAGGCUCUUCUCAAGCCACCACACAAGAAUCACAAGCCUAUGGUCCAGAUAUUGGCCAUAAGGAAGAUCCAGUGCUCAGGCCUUUAAUUGUCUCUGAGUCACAGACAAGAUUGAAGGCAAGAAAGCUGCAAGUGAGGCCACCAACUAGUACAAGAAGAAUUCAGUGAGGCCACCAACUUGUGACGCUGACGAACGCAUAGCCUUCUUUGUUAAUGUAAAGGAGGAGAUCAGAGUGAUAGACUAGAUCUCCGUGUUUCUUUUUAAGUAUUUUCUUUAUGAAAUUUCUUUUUGAAUUAAAUGAAAGCAAUCUUGGUUUAGUAUGUGUAUGAAAAUCAGUCUUUGCAAGUGUUUGUGUGAAUGUUUUGAUUAUGAAAUCUAAUGUGAAUGCGUACAAACUUUGGUGCUCUGUUUUAGUAGAUGUGUGGGUUUUCAUGUU